UAGUAUUACCCAGCAGCCCCUGCCCCACCAUCUGAGCCCCUCGCCUGGGUGCUGCCCAGUGCCCUCGGUAGAGACAGGUUCCCCCCACCUCCCCCCACAAUCAUGGAUCACUCCUUCAGUGGUGCCCCCCGCUUCCUAACUCGGCCCAAGGCCUUCAUGGUGUCGGUGGGGAAGGAUGCCACGCUGAGCUGCCAGAUCAUAGGCAACCCCACGCCACAAGUCAGCUGGGAGAAGGACCGGCAGCCAGUGAAGGCAGGCGCUCGCUUCCGCCUGGCCCAGGACGGGGACCUGUACCGCCUCACCAUCCUGGACCUGGCGCUGGGCGAUAGCGGGCAGUAUGUAUGCCGUGCGCGCAAUGCCAUCGGCGAGGCCUUCGCGGCAGUCGGCCUGCAGGUGGACGCUGAGGCAGCGUGCGCCGAGCAGGCACCCCACUUCCUGCUGCGACCCACAUCCAUCCGCGUGCGCGAGGGCGCUGAAGCCACUUUCCACUGCCGAGUGCGCGGUUCGCCACCUAUGUCGGUGAGCUGGGCCAAGGAUGGGAGGCGCCUGGGCUCGCCAGACGCCCCUCGAGUGCGCGUGGAGGCGAGCGGCGAGGAGGCCGCGCUGCGCAUCCAGGACGCGAGACCGCGCGACAGUGGCACCUACAUAGUGCACGCAGAGAACCCGCUGGGCGCAGCUAGCGCCGCGGCGGGGCUCACAGUAGACGCGGAUGCAGACGCGGCAAGCCCACCCGGGGCCUCCACAGCCAUGCUCUUGGCGCACUUGCAGCGGCGGCGCGAGGCUAUGCGCGCGGAGGGUGCCCCGGGCUCGCCUCCCAGCAUCGGGACACGCACCUGUACGGUGACUGAGGGCAAGCACGCGCGCCUCAGCUGCUUCGUGACAGGAGAGCCCAAGCCUGAGAUAGUGUGGAAGAAGGAUGGGCAGCUGGUGGCCGAGGGCCGGCGACACUUAGUGUAUGAGGACGCGCAGGAGAACUUCGUGCUCAAGAUCCUCUUCUGCAAGCAGUCAGACUGCGGCCUCUAUACUUGCACUGCGUCCAACCUCGUGGGCCAGACCUACAGUUCCGUGUUGGUUGUUGUGCGAGAGCCUGCGGUGCCUUUCAAGAAGCGGUUGCAGGACCUGGAAGUGCCAGAGAAAGCGUCCGCCACGUUCCAGUGUGAGGUGCUGCUGCCGGCCACCGAGUCUGCGUGGUACAAGGAGGAGACGCGGCUGUGGGCCAGCGACAAGUAUCGCAUCGAGGAAGCAGGCACCGAGCGCCGGCUGACUGUGCUCAACGUCUCUUCCGACGACGAUGCCGUGUACAUCUGUGAGACAGCGGAGGGCAGUCGCACGGUGGCUGAGCUGGCGGUGCAAGGCAACCUUCUCCGAAAGCUCCCAAGGAAGACAGCUGUGCGAGUGGGAGACACAGCCAUGUUCUGUGUGGAGCUGGCCAGGCCAGAAGGCCCCAUCCACUGGCUGCGGAACCAGAAGGAGGUGGUGGCUGGGGGCCGAGUGGCCAUCACUGCUGAAGGCACAUGCCACACGCUCAUCAUCUCCCAGUGCAGCCUGGAGGAUGUGGGUGAGGUGGCCUUUGUGGCUGGGGACUGCCGGACGUCCACCCAGUUCUGUGUGUCGGCCCCCAGAAGGCCGCCUCUGCAUGCUCCUGAGGCCCCAGUGGUGAAGGCCAGAACGGAGAGCUCUGUGACCCUUGGCUGGUCCCCACCGGCCCAUGGGGACCGCCCUGUGGCUAUCAAUGGCUACCUGGUAGAGAAGAGGCGACUGGGUGCCUACACCUGGACCCGGUGCCAUGAAGACGAGUGGGUGGCCAUGCCUGAGCUGACUGUGGCCGGUGUGGCUGAAGAGGGUGAAUUCCAGUUCCGGGUGUCAGCUGUGAACAGCUUUGGCCAGAGCCCCUACCUCGAGUUCCCAGGGACUGUACACCUGGUCCCCCAGCUGGCUGUGAAGACACCUCUGAAGGCAGUGGAGGCGGUAGAAGGCGGCGAGGUGACCUUUUCUGUGGACCUCACUGUGGCCUCAGCAGGGGAGUGGUUCCUGGAUGGGCAGGCCCUGAAGGCCAGCAAUAUGUAUGUGAUCCACUGUGAUGGCACCCGGCACACUCUCACCAUCCGCUCAGUACCUGUCAGCCUGCAUGGUGUUGAACUCAAGUUCGUGGCCAAUGGCAUUGAGAGCAGCAUCCGCAUGGAGGUCCGAGCAGCCCUUGGGCUGACAACCAAGCAUCCAGCUGCGGCAGUGGCAGCACGGGAGGUGUUGGCUCGUCUGCAUGAGGAGGCCCAGCUCCUGGCCGAGCUCUCAGACCAGGCUGCAGCCGUGACAUGGCUCAAGGAUGGACAUGCACUACCCCCAGGCCCCAAGUAUGAGGUGCAGGCAUCAGCCGGGCAGCGGGCACUGCUGGUGCGGGAUGUGAAGAGAGAAGAUGCAGGCCUGUACGAGUGCAUCAGCCAUGGGGACCGCAUCGCCUACCAGUUGUUGGUGCAAGAGCCCUCAGCGGUGUUUGCCAGGGAGCAGCCAGCACGCAGUGAAGUGCAGGCCAUAGUAGGGGACAGUGCCACACUGAACUGUGAGGUGGCCCAGGCCCAGACAGAGGUGACAUGGUACAAGGAUGGGAAGAAGUUUAGUGCAAACGCAAAAGUGUGCAUGGAGGCCAAAGGCUGUUCCCAGAGGCUGGUGGUGCAGCAGGCGGGAAAGGCAGAUGCUGGGGAGUACAGCUGUGAGGCCAGGGACCAGAGGAUCUCCUUCUACCUGGUACCUGGAUUAGUGUUCGGCAAAGUAGCUGAGGUGAGGGCCAGUGGCAUGCUAAGCUGUGAGGUAGCCCAGGUCCAGACAGAGGUGACAUGGUUCAAGAAAGGAAAGAAGCUGAGUUCAAGCUCAAAAGUGUAUUCUCAUAAGCUUAUUCUAGUUUUGUGUCUCACACUAUAUUCCUUUCUGUGCCCAGAACCCUCUGCAGUAUUUAUCAAGGGGCAGCCAGCGCAUAAGGAGGUGCAGGCUGUCGCGGGGGCCAGCACCACACUGAGCUGCGAGGUGACCCAGGCCCAGACGGAGGUCACAUGGUACAAGAAUAAGAAGAAGCUGAGUUCGAGCUCAAAUGUGCGUGUGGAGGCCAAGGGCUGCACCCGGAGGCUGGUGGUGCAGCAGGCGGGCAAGGCGGAUGCCGGGGAGUACAGCUGUGAGGCCGGGGGCCAGAAGGUGUCCUUCCACCUGAAUGUCACAGAGCCCUCAGUGGUGUUCGCCAAGGAGCAGCCAGCUCGCAGUGAAGUGCAGUCUGUGGCAGGGGCCAGUGCCGUGAUGAGCUGUGAGGUGGCCCAGGCCCAGACGGAGGUGACUUGGUACAAGGAUGGGAAGAAGCUGAGUUCAAGCUCAAAAGUGCGUGUAGAGGCCAAAGGCUGCAACCGGAGGCUGGUGGUGCAGCAGGCAGGCAAGGCAGAUGCCGGGGAAUAUAGCUGUGAGGCUGGGGGCCAGAAGGUCUCCUUCCAUCUGGAUGUCACAGAGCCCUCGGUGGUGUUUGCCAAGGAGCAGCCAGCACGCAGUGAAGUGCAGGCCAUGGCAGGGGCCAGUGCCACACUGAACUGUGAGGUGGCCCAGGCCCAGACGGAGGUGACAUGGUACAAGGAUGGGAAGAAGCUGAGUUCGAGCUCAAAAGUGCAUGUGGAGGCCAAGGGCUGCACCCGGAGGCUGGUGGUGCAGCAGGCGGGCAAGGCAGAUGCCGGGGAGUACAGCUGUGAGGCUGGGGGUCAGAAGGUCUCCUUCCACCUGGAUGUCACAGAGCCCUCAGUGGUGUUUGCCAAGGAGCAGCCGGCACACAGUGAAGUGCAGGCCAUGGCGGGGGCCAGUGCCACACUGAGCUGUGAGGUGGCCCAGGCCCAGACGGAGGUGACAUGGUACAAGGAUGGGAAGAAACUGAGUUCAAGCUCAAAAGUGCAUGUGGAGGCCAAGGGCUGCACCCGGAGGCUGGUGGUGCAGCAGGCGGGCAAGGCAGAUGCCGGGGAGUACAGCUGCGAGGCUGGGGGUCAGAAAGUCUCCUUCCACCUGGAUGUCACAGAGCCCUCAGUGGUGUUUGCCAAGGAACAGCUGGCCUGCAGUGAAGUGCAAGCCAUGGCAGGGGCCAGUGCCACGCUGAGCUGUGAGGUGGCCCAGGCCCAGACGGAGGUGACUUGGUACAAGGAUGGGAAGAAGCUGAGUUCGAGCUCAAAAGUGCGUGUGGAGGCCAAGGGCUGCAACCGGAGGCUGGUGGUGCAGCAAGUGGGCAAGGCAGAUGCUGGGGAGUACAGCUGCGAGGCUGGGGGUCAGAAGGUCUCCUUCCACCUGGAUGUCACAGAGCCCUCAGUGGUGUUUGCCAAGGAGCAGCCAGCACGCACUGAAGUGCAAGCCAUGGCCGGAGCCAGUGCCACACUGAGCUGUGAGGUGGCCCAGGCCCAGACAGAGGUGACAUGGUACAAGGAUGGGAAGAAGCUGACUUCAAGCUCAAAAGUGCGUGUGGAGGCCAAGGGCUGCAACCGGAGGCUGGUGGUGCAGCAGGCGGGCAAGGCAGAUGCUGGGGAGUACAGCUGCGAGGCUGGGGGUCAGAAGGUCUCCUUCCACCUGGACAUCACAGGUCAGUUCUUGGGGAGGAUACUAAGCUCUUCCAUUCAGAGCUUGGUGUUUGCCAAGGAGCAGCCAUCAAGCAGUGCAGUGCAGGCUGUGACGGGGGCCAGUGCCACACUGAACUGUGAGGUGGCCCAGGCCCAGACGGAGGUGACAUGGUACAAGGAUGGGAAGAAGCUGAGUUCGAGCUCAAAAGUGCGUGUGGAGGCCAAGGGCUGCACCCGGAGGCUGGUGGUGCAGCAGGCGGGCAAGGCAGAUGCCGGGGAGUACAGCUGCGAGGCUGGGGGUCAGAAGGUCUCCUUCCACCUGGAUGUCACAGAUCCCUCAGUGGUGUUUGCCAAGGAGCAGCCAGCAUGCACUGAAGUGCAGGCCAUGGCGGGGGCCAGUGCCACACUGAACUGUGAGGUGGCCCAGGCCCAGACGGAGGUGACAUGGUACAAGGAUGGGAAGAAGCUGAGUUCAAGCUCAAAAGUGCAUGUGGAGGCCAAGGGCUGCACCCGGAGGCUGGUGGUGCAGCAGGCGGGCAAGGCAGAUGCCGGGGAGUACAGCUGCAAGGCUGGGGGUCAGAAGGUCUCCUUCCACCUGGAUGUCACAGAGCCCUCAGUGGUGUUCGCCAAGGAGCAGCCGGCAUGCAGUGAGGUGCAGGCUGUGACAGGGGCCAGUGCCACACUGAACUGUGAGGUGGCCCAGGCCCAGACGGAGGUGACAUGGUACAAGGAUGGGAAGAAGCUGAGUUCGAGCUCAAAAGUGCGUGUGGAGGCCAAGGGCUGUACCCGGAGGCUGGUGGUGCAGCAGGCGGGCAAGGCAGAUGCCGGGGAGUACAGCUGUGAGGCUGGGGGCCAGAAGGUCUCCUUCCACCUGGAUGUCUCAGAGCCCAUGGAGGUGUUUGCCAAGGAGCAGCCGGCAUGCAGUGAAGUGCAGGCCAUGGCAGGGGCCAGUGCCACUCUGAGCUGUGAGGUGGCCCAGGCCCAGACAGAGGUGACAUGGUACAAGGAUGGGAAGAAGCUAACUUCGAGCUCAAAAGUGCAUGUGGAGGCCAAGGGCUGCACCCGGAGGCUGAUGGUGCAUCAGGCGGGCAAGGCAGAUGCUGGGGAAUACACCUGCAAAGCUGGGGGCCAGAAGGUCUCCUUCCACCUGGAUGUCACAGAGCCUAUGGUGGUGUUUGCCAAGGAGCAGUUAAUGUGCAGGGAGGUACAGGCCAAGGCAGGAGCCAGCACCACACUGAGCUGCGAGGUGGCCCAGGCCCAGACGGAGGUGACAUGGUACAAGGACGGGAAGAAGUUGAGUGCAAGCUCGAAAGUGCACGUGGAGGCCAAGGGCUGCACCCGGAGGCUGGUGGUGCAGCAGGUGGGCAAGGCAGAUGCUGGGGAGUACAGCUGCGAAGCCGGGGGCCAGAAGGUCUCUUUCCACCUAGAUGUCACAGGUGGGUGCCAGGCCCUGGAAAGACCAAGACGGAGGGAACCUCUGGUGGUCAAGGAACAUGAGGACAUCGUCCUGACAGCCACACUGGCCACACCCUCUGUGGCUGCGGUGACAUGGCUCAAGGAUGGCGUGGAAAUUCGCCGCAGCAAGCGGCAUGAGAUGGCCAGCCUGGGGGAAACCCACACCUUGACUGUGCAUGGCGCGCAGACCCUGGACAGUGCAGUCUACAGCUGCCGCGUUGGCGCCGAGGGGCAGGACUUUCCGGUGCAGGUGGAAGAGGUGGCUGCCAAGUUCUGUCGUCCUUUGGAGUCUGUGAGCGGGGAGCUAGGCGGCACGGUGACGCUGACCUGCGAGCUGAGCCCUGCUCAGGCCGAAGCGGUGUGGCGCUGCGGAAACACGCAACUCCGGGCUGGCAAACGUUUCCAGAUGGCGGCUGCGGGACUUCAGCGCUCUCUCACUGUGACCGGCCUGCGAGCGGAGGAUGCUGGGGAGUACGUGUGCCAGAGUCGCGACGACCGCACCAGCGCCACACUCACCGUUAGAGUGCCUCGCAUGGUCAAGUUCACGUCCCCGCUGAGCGCAGUGGUUGCAGAGGAGGGCUGCGAGGCUAACUUCCAGUGCGUGGUGACCCCCAGCGAUGUGGCAGUCACGUGGUUCCGGGAUGGCCUUCAGCUACAGCUCAGCGAGAAGUUUCUCAUAUCUCAGAGGGGUGCCAGCCACAGCCUGACCAUCUCGAGCCUGGCCUUGGAGGACUCCGGCCAGAUCACCGCGGAGGCUGAGGGUGUCAAGUCUACAGCUGCGCUCAGGGUCCGAGAGGCUCCAGUGCUGUUCAAAAAGAAGCUGGAGCCACAGACCGUGGAGGAGCGGAGCUCGGUGACCAUGGCAGUAGAGCUGACACGGCAGUGGCCAGAGGUCAAGUGGACACGCAAUGCUGCGGCCCUGGUACCUGGCGAGAAUGUGGAGAUCCACGCAGAGGGCAAGAGUCACCGCUUGGUUCUCCACAGUGUGGGUUUUGCUGACCGUGGUUUCUAUGGCUGUGAGACACCAGAUGACAAGACACAGGCCAAACUGACAGUGGAAAUGCGCCAGGUCCGGCUUGUGCGGGGCUUGCAAGCAGUGGAGGCACAGGAGCAGGGUGUCGCCACAAUGGAAGUAGAACUGUCUCAUGCCGAUGUGGAGGGCAGCUGGACUCGAGACGGCCUUCGACUCCAGCCAGGACCCACGUGCCAGCUGGCAGUGCAUGGCCCCACCCAUAGCCUCACACUGUCACAGCUGCAGCGGCAGGAUGGAGGCCUUGUCACCUUCAGGGCAGAGGGCGUGCACACAUCAGCGCAACUGGUGGUCACUGGCCGAAAUGUCCAGAUCGUGAGGCCCCUGGAAGACGUGGAAGUGAUGGAGAAGGAGGGUGCCACCUUCUCCUGUGAGGUCUCCCAUGAUGAGGUGCCUGCCCACUGGUUCCGGGAGGGCAUUAAGCUUCGACCCACUGAUAAUGUGCGCAUCCGCCAGGAAGGUGAGAUGGACUUUAGGAGGACUUCUCCCCCUUCCCACUCCCAGGCCACCUCUCCCUUUACUGCCAAGUGGUCUCUUUUCCCAGGAAGGACAUACACUCUCAUUUAUCGGAGGGUCCUGGUGGGUGAUGCAGGGGAAAUCAAAUUUGUAGCUGAAAAUGCAGAAUCACGAGCCCAGCUCCGAGUCAAAGAGCUGCCAGUGGCCAUCCUACGCCCGCUGAGGGAUAAGAUCGCAAUGGAGAAGCACCGAGGUGUGCUCGAGUGCCAGAUGUCGAGGGCCAGCGCCCAGGUGCGGUGGUUCAAGGGCAGUGUGGAACUGCAGCCGGGAGCCAAAUAUGAGAUGAUCAGUGAUGGCCUUUACCGCAAGCUAGUCAUCAAUGCUGUCCAGCCUGAGGAUGAGGACACGUAUACCUGUGAUGCUGGCGAUGUUAAGACCAGUGCCCAGUUCUUUGUGGAAGAGCAAUCCAUCACUAUCGUGCGGGGCCUGCAGGAUGUGACGGUGAUGGAGCCUGCCCCUGCUUGGUUCGAGUGUGAGCUCUCCAUCCCCUCAGUGCGGCCUCCUAAGUGGCUCCUGGGGAAGACGGUUCUGCAGGCAGGGGCUGAUGUGGGAAUAGAGCAGGAGGGCACAGUGCACCGACUGACUCUGCGGCGGACCUUCUCCACCAUGACGGGGCCAGUGCACUUCACCAUUGGCAAAUCACGCUCCACGGCCUCCCUGGUUGUCUCAGACAUUCCCACGGUGCUCACGCGGCCACUGGAGCCCAAGGUGGGACGUGAGCUGCAGUCGGUAGUUCUGUCUUGUGACUUCAAGCCGCCCCCCAAGGCAGUGCAGUGGUACAAGGAGGAGACACCCUUGGCGCCAUCUGGCAAGUUCAAGAUGAGGCUGGAGGGUCACAUGGCAGAGCUGCGAGUCCUGAGGCUCACACCCGCAGAUGCUGGUGUUUACCGGUGCCAGGCUGGCAGCGCCCAGAGCAGCGCUGAGGUCACCGUGGAAGUGCGGGAAGUGAUGGUGACACAGCCACUGCAAGAUUUGGAGGUCACAGAGGAGGGCUCUGCCUGCUUCUCCUGCGAGCUUUCCCACGAGGAUGAGGAGGUGGAAUGGUCACUCAAUGGGACGCCACUGUAUAACGACAGCUUCCAUGAGAUUACCCACGAGGGCCGCCGCCACACGCUGGUGCUGAAGCGGGUCCGGCAGGCUGAUAGGGGCACUGUAUGUGCCUCCUCCCCUAAGGUUACAGCCUCAGCCCACCUGGAGGUCAAAGGGAAGCCGGUGGUGUUCCUGAAGGCGCUGGAUGAUAUGUCUGUGGAGGAGCAGGGCACACUGGCCUUGCAGUGUGAGGUCUCUGACCACCAGGCCCAUGUGGUGUGGCGAAAGGAUGGUGUGGAGCUGGGCCCCAGUGACAAGUAUGACUUCCUGCAUACAGCGGGCACUCGGGGACUUGUGGUGCAUGACCUGAGCCGGGACGAUGCUGGCCUGUACACCUGCGACGUGGGCACUGAUGAGACCCAUGCCCGUGUCAGCGUGCACGAUCUGCAUGUGGGCAUCACCAAAAGACUGAAGACAGUGGAGGUGCUGGUGGGUGAGAGCUGCAGCUUUGAAUGUGUCCUGUCCCACGAGAACACUGGCGAUGUGGCUGUGUGGACAGUUGGUGGGAAAACGGUGGCCAGCUCUGACCGUUUCCAGGCCACUCGCCAGGGCCGCAAGUACACUCUGGUUGUCCGAGACGCUGUGCCAAGUGACGCUGGGGAGGUGGUCUUCUCUGUGCGGGACCUUACCUCCAAGGCCUCGCUCAUCGUCAGAGAGAGGCUGGUAGACAUCGUGAAGCCACUGGAAGACCAGCAGGCCAUGCUGGGUGAGGAUGUGGUGCUGAGGUGUGAGCUUUCCCGGGAGGGAAUCCCAGUGCACUGGCUGAAGGAUGGGAAGGCCAUUCGCAAGAGUAAGAAGUAUGAGGUGCUCACUGAAGGCACCUGGGCCAUGCUAGUUGUCCAUGCAGCCUCACUCAAAGAUUGUGGGGAGUACACGUGUGAGACAGAGUCUUCCAAAAGCACAGCCAGCCUCCACUUGGAAGAAAAGCCAAAUCGGUUCACAGAGGAGCUGGCUGACCUGCAGGUGGAGGAGAAGGGCACAGCUGUGUUUGCCUGCAAGACGGAGCGUCCUGCAGCCUCAGUGACCUGGUGCAAGGGCCUCACAGAGCUGCGAGCCUCAGGGAAGCACAUGCCCAGCCAGGAGGGCCUGACCUUGAGGCUCACCAUCAGUGCCCUGGAGAAGGCAGACAGUGACACCUAUACCUGUAACAUUGGCCAGGCCCAGUCCCAGGCCCGGCUUCUGGUGCAAGGCCAGAAAGUGUUCAUUAUGGAGGACCUGGAGGACACGGAGGUGCAAGAGGGCUCCUCGGCCACCUUCUGCUGCCGCAUCUCCCCUGCCGACUAUAAGCCCGUCCACUGGUUCUUGGACAAAACCCCCCUGUAUGCCAACGAACUCAAUGAAAUUGAGGCCCAGCCUGGUGGCUACCAUGUACUGACCCUGCGGCAGCUGGCACUCAAGGAUUCAGGCACUGUCCACUUUGAGGCAGGCGACCAGCGGGCCUCGGCUGCCUUGAGGGUCACAGAGAAGCCAAGUGUUUUCUCCCAGGAGCUUACAGAUGUCACAGUCACAGAGGGGGAGGAUCUGACCCUGGUCUGUGAGACUGCUGCCUUAGACAACCCUGUGUGCUGGACCAAGGAUGGGAAGGCCCUGCGGCCAUCGGCCCGGUGCCGGCAGACCUAUGAGGGCCGCCGGGCCCAGUUGGUCAUCACUGACACCACCCUGCAGGACAGCGGGCGCUACAAAUGUGAGACUGGGGGUGCCUGGAGCAGCUCCAUUGUCAGGGUCCAUGCUCGGCCAGUGUGGUUCCGAGAGGGGCUGAAGGACAUGGAGAUACUGGAGGGUGGAGCUGCCACACUACGCUGCAUGCUGUCAUCAGUGGCCAUGCCUGUGGAGUGGCGUUGUGGAGAUGAGGUUCUGAAGCCUGGGGGCAAGUACAGUCUGAGACAGGAAGGUACCAUGCUGGAGCUGGUGGUCCGGGACCUGCGGCCUCAGGACACUGGGCAGUACUGUUGCUGCUUUGGGGACCAGAUGACAUCAGCCAAACUCACCGUGAAGGGUGAGUAUCCUCACCCACACUAUGAUGUUCUGUGUCCAUUGGACUUUGUUACAGCCCUGCCUGCUGAGUUCAUAGGAAGACUGAGAAGCAAGGAGGCCAAAGAAGGGGUCACAGCCACGCUGCGCUGUGAGCUGAGUAAGGAGGCCCCAGUGGAGUGGAAGAAGGGGCCUGAGACCCUCAGAGCUGGGGGCAGAGUGAGUCUGAAGCAGGAAGGAGCUGUGUGUGAACUGGAGAUUCAGGACCUGACCGUGGCAGAUGCCGGGGAGUACUCAUGCGUGUGUGGGCAGGAGAGAACCUCGGCCACACUCACCGUCACGGGUAAAGACUCCCUGCCUGCUGAGUUCAUAAGAAGACUGAGAAGCAAGGAGUUCAUGGAAGGGACCACAGCCACGCUGCACUGUGAGCUGAGCAAGGCGGCCCCCGUGGAGUGGAGGAAGGGACCCGAGACCCUGAGAGCUGGGGACAGAGUGAGCCUGAGGCAGGAUGGAGUCAUGUGUGAGCUGGAGAUCCGUGGCCUGAUGGUGGCAGAUGCUGGGGAGUACUCAUGCGUAUGUGGGCAGGAGAGAACAUCGGCCUCACUGACCGUCCAGGGUAAAGACUGUGUGCAGCCAUACAGAGCGGAAGCUUCGUGUCUGAGGGAUUGCUCAUGUCCUCUAGUCUUCCCUUUCUCUUUGCCCACCAAGUUCGUAAAGGGCCUGAGGAAGGAAGAGGCCACAGAAGGGACCACGGUCACACUGCACUGUGAGCUGAGCAGGGCGGCCCCUGUGGAGUGGAGGAAAGGGUCUGAGACCCUCAGAUCUGGGAACAGAGUGGGCCUGAGGCAGGAUGGAGCCCUGUGUGAGCUGGAGAUCCGUGGCCUGACCAUGGCAGACACCGGAGAGUACUCAUGCGUGUGCGGGCACGAGAGGACCUCAGCCAUGCUCAUUGUCAGGGCCCUGACUGCCAAGUUCACAAAGGGUCUGAGGAAUGAAGAGGCCACAGGAGGGGCCAUGGCCAUACUGUGCUGUGAGCAGAGCAGGACAGGCCCUGUGGAGUUGAAGAAGUGGCCUGAGACCCUCUGGGAUGGAAGCAGAGUGAGCCUGAGGCAGGAAGGGGCUGUGGUGGAUGCCAGGGAGUACUUAUGCAUGUGCGGGCAGGAGAGGACCUUGGGGCCAUGCUUACUGUUGAGAUUCAUACAAAGUAUGAGGCCUGAGGAGUUCACAGAUGGGGGCUGGGCUGAGGGAAGCCAUCAUCUACAGUAUGUCUUUGCCCUGCCCACUAAUUUCACAAAGGGCCUGAGGAAUGAAGAAGCCAUGGAAAGGGCCACAGCCACCUUGUGUUGUGAUCUGAGAAAGGUGGCCCCUGUGAUGUGGAGGAAGGGGCCUGAGAUCCUCAUAUCUGGGGACAGAGUGAGCCUGGGACAGUAUGGGGCCACAUAUGAGCUGGAUAUCCAUGGUUUGGUUGUGGCGGAUGCUGGACAUGUGUGUCUGGCCAGGAGAGGACACUGGCCAAGCUGGCCAUCAGGCCUAAAGACUGAAUGUGGCCGCCUGAGUGACUUCUCUCUGUGUUUUUCCAAUGUCAAUGGUCACUACCCUGUACAUACAGAAUCCACCUCCUGCAAGGCACCAGUAGACAGGCAUCAUGGUCCAGGAGAGCUUCCCUGGCAUCUGGAAUGGCUGGGGCUGUGGAUAAGCCUAGGAUCUGGACCCCGGUUGUAA
rnacentral:lncRNA from 1 species